ACCCGCUGAACUUAAGCAUAUCAAUAAGCGGAGGAAAAGAAACCAACAGGGAUUGCCCUAGUAACGGCGAGUGAAGCGGCAACAGCUCAAAUUUGAAAUCUGGCGUCUUUGGCGUCCGAGUUGUAAUUUGCAGAGGGCGCUUUGGCAUUGGUAGCGGUCCAAGUUCCUUGGAACAGGACGUCACAGAGGGUGAGAAUCCCGUACGUGGUCGCUAGCCUUUACCGUGUAAAGCCCCUUCGACGAGUCGAGUUGUUUGGGAAUGCAGCUCUAAAUGGGAGGUAAAUUUCUUCUAAAGCUAAAUACUGGCCAGAGACCGAUAGCGCACAAGUAGAGAGAUCGAAAGAUGAAAAGCACUUUGGAAAGAGAGUUAAAAAGCACGUGAAAUUGUUGAAAGGGAAGCGCUAGCAGCCAGACUUGCCUGUAGUUGCUCAUCCGGGUUUUUACCCGGUGCACUCUUCUAUAGGCAGGCCAGCAUCAGUUUGGGCGGUUGGAUAAAGGUCUCUGUCAUGUACCUCUCUUCGGGGAGAACUUAUAGGGGAGACGACAUGCAACCAACCCGGACUGAGGUCCGCGCAUCUGCUAGGAUGCUGGCGUAAU
rnacentral:rRNA from 1 species